rnacentral:rRNA from 1 species
AACGAACGCUGGCGGCAUGCCUAACACAUGCCAGUCGAACGAGACCUUCGGGUCUAGUGGCGAACGGGUGCGUAACGCGUGGGAACCUGCCCUUAGGUUCGGAAUAACUCCCCGAAAGGGGUGCUAAUACCGGAUAAUGUCUUCGGACCAAAGAUUUAUCGCCCUUGGAUGAGCCCGCGUUGGAUUAGCUAGUUGGUAGGGUAAAAGCCUACCAAGGCGACGAUCCAUAGCUGGUCUGAGAGGAUGAUCAGCCACACUGGGACUGAGACACGGCCCAGACUCCUACGGGAGGCAGCAGUGGGGAAUAUUGGACAAUGGGCGAAAGCCUGAUCCAGCAAUGCCGCGUGAGUGAUGAAGGCCUUAGGGUUGUAAAGCUCUUUUACCCGGGAUGAUAAUGACAGUACCGGGAGAAUAAGCUCCGGCUAACUCCGUG